UCUUCUCCACUACUCAUUUUAGCUCGGCGGAGACUCCCCUCUUCAGUAAUAGUCCAUGAAUGCAGCGGCUGCAGUGACUAACGCCAUCACCAGAUUACCUUUUCCACCCCCAAUUGGAUACUCUUUUGCCCAAAAUGAGAACCCCAGACGCGUUAUCGAGUCUCUGCGCUUUCCUUCAACUUCGUCUUCUGCAGCAGUGAAAACAGUAUCUUUAUCUUUGGAACAAGAGUUUCGGCCUAAUGCCCUUCGCAAGAAGCAAGAUUCCUCAUCCAGAUGUGGGUUCAGCCUAGGGGUAGACCUGGGUCUUUCGCGGACGGGCCUUGCCAUCAGCAAAGGCUUUGUAAUUCGUCCCUUAACUGUUCUUGAAUUAAGAGGCCAAAAGCUGGAGCUUCGUCUACUUGAUAUUGCUCAAAACCAGGAGGUUGACGAGUUCAUAAUAGGGCUUCCAAUAUCUAUUGAUGGGAGAGAAACACCACAGUCGAAUAAAGUCCGUAGUGUUGCUGGUAGACUUGCCGUCCGGGCUGCUGAGAGGGGCUUGAGAGUGUACUUGCAGGAUGAAUAUGGGACCUCAACUGAGGCACUUGACCGUAUGAUAGACAUGGGACACAGCAAGUCUGGUCGCCGGGGGAGGAUUGAUGCCUAUGCAGCUGCGAUGGUGCUCGAAAAGUACUUUUCAGAGUCAGGAGGAGGAGUUGAACUUGUCUUGCCCAAGCAGUUGGACCUCCAAAACAAACUUAGAGGUUGUGCUGCCAGGAAUGUUGAGUCGUUUUAAGCGGAUCUUUGCUACUCAGAAAUUUGCAUUAUGUUUUCAUGCGUUCAUAAUUCUUUUAUUCUUUUUUAUCUCAGAUCGGGGAAAGCUAUGGAAGCGUUCUUAAAAGCAAUUUUCUGGAAGAGCAACAGGUUGAAACUGCGUUGUAGCACUGAGUCAGCAAUCAAUUAUUUAUUACAACGUAUUUCAGACAUCAAGAUUCCAAUUAUCAAUGCGUCCAACUUCUUUUCCUUGUAUAAAACAUUUGGUUGAUCAAAUUUCUUAUCCCUGCCUAAAAUGUACAAAUCGAUUGUUA